rnacentral:rRNA from 1 species
GGUGAACGCUGGCGGCGUGCUUAAGACAUGCAAGUCGAACGCAGUCUUCGGACUGAGUGGCGCACGGGUGAGUAACACGUAACUGACCUACCCCCAAGUCGCGGAUAACUGGCCGAAAGGUCAGCUAAUACGUGAUGUGAUGUCCCCUUUCUGGGGGGCCAUUAAAGGUUUACUGCUUGGGGAUGGGGUUGCGUUCCAUCAGCUAGUUGGCGGGGUAAAGGCCCACCAAGGCAACGACGGAUAGCCGGCCUGAGAGGGUGGCCGGUCACAGGGGCACUGAGACACGGGUCCCACUCCUACGGGAGGCAGCAGUUAGGAAUCUUCCACAAUGGGCGAAAGCCUGGUGGAGCGACGCCGCGUGAGGGAUGAAGGUUCUCGGAUCGUAAACCUCUGAAUCAGGGACGAAAGACGCGUAAGCGGGAUGACGGUACCUGAGUAAUAGCACCGGCUAACUCCGUGCCAGCAGCCGCCGUAA